CCUANGGGUGGCAGCAGUGGGGAAUUUUGGACAAUGGGGGCAACCCUGAUCCAGCCAUGCCGCGUGAGUGAAGAAGGCCUUCGGGUUGUAAAGCUCUUUCGGACGGGACGAAAUGGUUACGGUGAAUAACUGUGACUGAUGACGGUACCGUAAUAAGAAGCACCGGCUAACUACGUGCCAGCAGCCGCGGUAAUACGUAGGGUGCGAGCGUUAAUCGGAAUUACUGGGCGUAAAGCGUGCGCAGGCGGUUCGCCAAGUCAGGUGUGAAAUCCCCGGGCUUAACUCCGGAACUGCCAUUGAUACUGUAAGUCUCGAGUUUGGAAGAGGUUGAUGGAAUAUCUGGUGUAGCAGUGAAAUGCGUAGAUAUCAGAUAGAACACCAAUGGCGAAGGCAGUCAACUGGUCCAACACUGACGCUAAAGCACGAAAGUGUGGGUAGCAAACAGGAUUAGAUACCCUUNUANUC
rnacentral:rRNA from 1 species